rnacentral:rRNA from 1 species
ACUCCUACGGGAGGCAGCAGUGAGGAAUAUUGGACAAUGGAGGCAACUCUGAUCCAGCCAUGCCGCGUGCAGGAAGACUGCCCUAUGGGUUGUAAACUGUCUUUUAUACGGGAAGAAACAGCUCUACGUGUAGAGCCUUGACGGUACCGUAAGAAUAAGCACCGGCUAACUCCGUGCCAGCAGCCGCGGUAAUACGGAGGGUGCAAGCGUUAUCCGGAAUCAUUGGGUUUAAAGGGUCCGUAGGCGGACGAUUAAGUCAGAGGUGAAAGUCUGCAGCUCAACUGUAGAAUUGCCUUUGAUACUGGUUGUCUUGAAUUAUUGUGAAGUGGUUAGAAUAAGUAGUGUAGCGGUGAAAUGCAUAGAUAUUACUUAGAAUACCAAUUGCGAAGGCAGAUCACUAACAAUAUAUUGACGCUGAGGGACGAAAGCGUGGGAGCGAACAGGAUUAGAUACCCCUGGUAGCGACUGA